CUCGUGUAAACGGGGCUUUAGGCUUCGGGUUCAAAUUAUAUUAACGCUACCGUAACAAAAAUAGCAUGAAACCUUAUACCUUUUAUGUAUUUUUAUUUACUUUCAACAAUAUGAAUUAGCGUCUCUAUAAUAUUAUAAUAAUAUAGUAUUCUUAAUAUACUAACUUCUCUCUCUAUUUGUUUGAGCUGAGCACAACUUUGAAUCUUUAUUCUUCAUACUUCGUAUUCCGUCUUCUUUAAUAAUUCCACAAUAUUCCCAUGUUCUUUGUUUACUUGACAAGGCUUAACUAGCUAGCCUUUUGAUUAUAUACUUCGGCCUUUGUUGGCUUUUGAAGUAUU
rnacentral:lncRNA from 1 species